AGGAUGAACGCUGGCGGCGUGCCUAAUACAUGCAAGUCGAGCGGCAGCACGGACUUCGGUCUGGUGGCGAGCGGCGGACGGCUGAGUAACGCGUAGGAACGUACCCCAAAGUGAGGGAUAACUGCCUGAAAAGGUAGCUAAUACCGCAUGUGGUCUUCGGAUUAAAGCUUUAUGCGCUUUGGGAACGGCCUGCGUCUGAUUAGCUUGUUGGUGAGGUAAUGGCUUACCAAGGCGAUGAUCGGUAGCUGGUCUGAGAGGAUGAUCAGCCAGACUGGGACUGAGAACGGCCCAGACUCCUACGGGAGGCAGCAGUAGGGAAUUUUCCACAAUGGGCGAAAGCCUGAUGGAGCAACGCCGCGUGCAGGAAGAAUGCCUUCGGGUUGUAAACUGCUUUUCUUUGUGAGGAUUAUGACAGUAGCAGAGGAAUAAGGAUCGGCUAACUCCGUGCCAGCAGCCGCGU
rnacentral:rRNA from 1 species